UACGAAGGGGGCUAGCGUUGCUCGGAAUUACUGGGCGUAAAGCGCACGUAGGCGGCUCAGCAAGUCAGGGGUGAAAUCCCGGGGCUCAACCCCGGAACUGCCCUUGAAACUGCUAAGCUAGAAUCCUGGAGAGGCGAGUGGAAUUCCGAGUGUAGAGGUGAAAUUCGUAGAUAUUCGGAAGAACACCAGUGGCGAAGGCGACUUACUGGACACAUAUUGACGCUGAGGUGCGAAAGCGUGGGGAGCAAACAGG
rnacentral:rRNA from 1 species